AACGAACGCUGGCGGCAUGCCUAACACAUGCAAGUCGAACGAACCCUUCGGGGUUAGUGGCGCACGGGUGCGUAACGCGUGGGAAUCUGCCCUUUGCUUCGGAAUAACUCAGGGAAACUUGUGCUAAUACCGGAUGAUGUCUUCGGACCAAAGAUUUAUCGGCACGGGAUGAGCCCGCGUAGGAUUAGGUGGUUGGUGGGGUAAAGGCCUACCAAGCCGACGAUCCUUAGCUGGUCUGAGAGGAUGAUCAGCCACACUGGGACUGAGACACGGCCCAGACUCGUACGGGAGGCAGCAGUGGGGAAUAUUAGACAAUGGGCGCAAGCCUGAUCAAGCAAUGCCGCGUGAGUGAUGAAGGCCCUCGGGUCGUAAAGCUCUUUUAGCAGGGAUGAUAAUGACAGUACCUGGAGAAUAAGCUCCGGCUAACUCCGUG
rnacentral:rRNA from 1 species